rnacentral:rRNA from 1 species
ACAGAGAUGGCGACCGUUGUUCGGAAUUACUGGGCUUAAAGGGCAUGUAGGCGGCUAGAAAAGUUGGUAGUGAAAAUCUAUGGCUUACCCAUGGAAGUGCUGCCAAAACUAUCAAGCUAGAGUGAGGUAGGGGGGAGUGGAACUCCUGGUGGAGCGGUGAAAUGCGUUGAUAUCAGGAGGAACGCCGGAGGCGAAAGCGACUCUCUGGACCUUAACUGACGCUGAGGUGCGAAAGCUAGGGGAGCAAACGG